UACGUAGGUGGCAAGCGUUUGUCCGGAAUUAUUGGGCGUAAAGCGCGCGCAGGCGGUCCUUUAAGUCUGAUGUGAAAGCCCACGGCUCAACCGUGGAGGGUCAUUGGAAACUGGGGGACUUGAGUGCAGGAGAGAAGAGUGGAAUUCCACGUGUAGCGGUGAAAUGCGUAGAUAUCAGGAGGAACACCGGCGGCGAAGGCGGCCCUCUGGAUCGUUGCUGCGUGGAGACGCGAAAGCGUGGGGAGCAAACAGG
rnacentral:rRNA from 1 species